GGCAAGUGAGGCUAGAGCAUGGAGAGAAGGACAGUGACAGGUGAAGUGAGAACGUUCUCUCUUGGAGUUUAAGGAUUCGUGUGCAUGACUGACCUCCACUCUAGUGUCUUCUAGAGAGGAGCUGUUCAAUAAAUAUGAUGGAUGUAGUUGCUUAAUUUCCUGUCUAGGCUCCCCUCCACAGCCAGGGUGAUGGGCAGACAUCUUGGACCUUUGGGUGUUAGCAGAGCUUCUGCAGAAGUAGCUUCCUACCCCUGAGCCUCUCUCACCCUUUCUUUUUGAGAUUUGGAAGAUGUAAAGGAGGAGCCAGGAGUCUUCCCUUGUGGGUCUCCCCCAGUAACUGCUGGCCAGUCCACAGACUCGGCCACUGGGCACUUGGCUGCAGUAGCACAAAGCACAAGAGGUGGUCAUCUGGGCUCUGAAGGCUUUAAGAGAAAGGGCACAUCUGACUCGGAAAGUGCCCAGAGCAAUAAGGGAAGAAGGGAGCCCUUACACCGGCAGAGGGAAAGGGGAAAGUUGUAUUUUCAAGAUAAGCUGUGUUCAGGAGACUUUGAUGUUUCCAUUUUGUUUUUGAUAGAAAAGCCUCUCUGAAUAAGGAGCAGCCCGCGGCCCCACCUGGUGCAAGAGACGCUGGAGGACUGUGCCAGGGCUCGCUCUCUGCGCAGCUGAGAGGCAGGGAGCGCUUCCUCUGGGUGCGGGCCGAGCUGGGCCCGGAGGCCGUGCUUGUCCUGCCAGCCCUCAGACCCUCAGAGCUCGCGUGUGCCCACCUUACACACCACCGCUCAAGGACCUUCUGCUUCUGAAUGGGGAAACGCUCCUUCCCCAAGCUGCUGUCUCAGAUCUGACACUUCCUGACUGCCUAUUUCCAAGAACAGACUCCCAACGCUGUGGCCACGGGUCCCAGGCAUCCUGAAAUGUGGCCCUACUUGACCUUGUCCUCCAUCUGGACUGAGCUCCCCUUUCUCCAGCUGUUCAAGGAAGGCCCACUCGUUUUGUAAGAUCCUGUUAAAAACCUUACCUCUCUGUAUAGUCUUUCCUGAUCACCCCAAAUCAAACAGGCGUUUUUCUCUAACUUGUCUGGCAUCUACUUUCAGAAACACUCAUUUGACGUUUAUCACAUUCUGCCCUUUAAUUGCCAAUUAUUUGUUGGUGUGUCUGCAGCUGUCCUCCCAGCGUGUCAUUCUCUUCUGUUUACUUAGAAGGCGAUCCUUCCCUUUCCUGCCUGUGGAACUCCUACUGAACGCUCCCGGGCCUGGUCAGGGGUCACCCCGCCAUGGGCUUCCACUCUGGCUUUUUGUGAAUCAUAAAUCAUUUUUAUCCACUAGAACGUAUUCCCUGUAGAGCUAAAAACUACAUCUGACUUAUCCUAGUAUUUCCCAAGGUGCCCAGCUCAGAGCUGGGGCCUCAUGGGUGAUGCAAUUAAAGGAUGAGUCAGUGAGGGAACAGACGGAAGCGAGCUGAGCGCUGUCUGAGGACUGUUCUGGCACGUCACAGGUCAUAGGCUGGCUGUGUUAUGCUUCUUUUUUUUCAUAUUCUAUAGAAAGUACUAUGCAUGUAAUGGGUGUUUAAUGAAUGUGAAAUGUUUUAUUAAUUGCUAUGUAUGUGUUGACGAUUUUAUUAUUAAUGUUGUUAGUCAAUACUGCCAUCACUGAAAGAAGUGUGUCAGAAGGAGGUGGGUACUUGACCCCCGUUCCUCUCAUCCUUGGGUAGGAGAACUUCCUUUUGGAGCUUUCCUACUAAGAAGGUAAGAUCCUUAUGGUCAGUAAACAAGGUAUUUAAAUCCAA
rnacentral:lncRNA from 1 species